rnacentral:rRNA from 1 species
AACGUAGGAGGCGAGCGUUAUCCGGAUUUACUGGGUGUAAAGCGCGUGUAGGCGGUCGGCUAAGUUGGGUGUGAAAGCGCCUGGCUCAACUGGGCGAGGUCGCUCAAGACUGGCCGACUGGAGAGCAGUAGGGGAAGGUGGAAUUCCGGGUGUAGUGGUGAAAUGCGUAGAUAUCCGGAGGAACACCAGUGGCGAAAGCGGCCUUCUGGACUGCAUCUGACGCUCAGACGCGAAAGCUAGGGGAGCAAACGGG